rnacentral:rRNA from 1 species
AUUGAACGCUGGCGGCAUGCUUUACACAUGCAAGUCGAACGGUAACAGGGUGCUUGCACCGCUGACGAGUGGCGAACGGGUGAGUAAUGCGUCGGAACGUGCCGAGUAGUGGGGGAUAACGCAUCGAAAGGUGUGCUAAUACCGCAUACGUACUGAGGUAGAAAGUGGGGGACCUUCGGGCCUCACGCUAUUCGAGCGGCCGACGUCUGGUUAGCUAGUUGGUGAGGUAAAGGCUCACCAAGGCGACGAUCAGUAGCGGGUCUGAGAGGAUGAUCCGCCACACUGGGACUGAGACACGGCCCAGACUCCUACGGGAGGCAGCAGUGGGGAAUUUUGGACAAUGGGCGCAAGCCUGAUCCAGCCAUGCCGCGUGUCUGAAGAAGGCCUUCGGGCUGUAAAGGACUUUUGUCCGGGAGCAAAUACCCAGUGCUAAUAACGCUGGGGGCUGAGAGUACCGGAAGAAUAAGCACCGGCUAACUACGUGCCAGCAGCCGCGGUAACAC